UACGGGGGGGGGCAAGCGUUGUUCGGAAUUACUGGGCGUAAAAGGGCUCGUAGGCGGCCAACUAAGUCGGAUGUGAAAUCCCCAGGCUCAACUUGGGAACUGCAUCCGAUACUGGAUGGCUUGAAUUCGGGAGAGGGAUGCAGAAUUCCAGGUGUAGCGGUGAAAUGCGUAGAUAUCUGGAGGAAUACCGGUGGCGAAGGCGGCAUCCUGGACCGAUAUUGACGCUGAGGAGCGAAAGCUAGGGGGAGCAAACGGG
rnacentral:rRNA from 1 species